CUCAAACAUAAAUUCUAGUAGAUUGCCACUGACAUUUCUAACUGCAAAAUUCUAUUAUUCUAUAUAAAAUGCUUCAUAAUUUCUCCUUAGUUUUUCCAUUAGACAUACAGCCUCAAUCUCUUUAAACUUUCCUUGUAGAUGAUCUAUUUUUGUUUUUUAUAAUUUAUUGAAAUAAACUUUUAAACAUUAUUUUUAUUUUCAAGACAAUUACUUAAUUCAUCUCCAAUAAAAUAGUUUUCUUUUAUCUAUGUAACAGAAUAGAGAAAUUAUUGAAUUGGCAUUCAGAACACCUGGACUGCAUUGUCCUUACAUGGCUGCACAGAAGGUCACAGGCUCAUCUUUGCUGGAAGAAAGGAAAGGAGGCCCACCAUGGUGGUUCUGAUCAGAAUACUGAGGAGAUGCCCUUUCAUAAGGAAUAUUGAAGAGGAAAAAGGAGCCAACAAGGGAUAUGGAGAAAGAAUAGUUAAGGGGAACCAGGAUCCUGACAUCCUGUCACUCGUGCCUAAAUAUGGAAGAAUCAAUAACAAGGUUUUAAAAAUGAAAUAAAAACUGCCCAACAUUAAAAAACAAAUUAAAAACUAAAGAUUUUACAUGAAAAUAUCAAUGGAAACAAUGAUAAACUAUUAUUUCUUAGACUUUUCCUCUCUUUUUAUAUUCUCUGUUCUUCCCUGAUGAGAUUCUUAUCUCAUAAUAUUUAAAUUUUAUUAUUCUAAUUUAAAAUUUUUUUAUUCUAAGACCAAAAUUUUCAUAAU
rnacentral:lncRNA from 1 species